UACGUAGGUGGCAGGCGUUGUCCGGAUUUAUUGGGUUUAAAGGGUGCGUAGGCGGUCUUUUAAGUCAGUGCUGAAAUAUCCCGGCUUAACCGGGAGGGUGGCAUUGAUACUGAAGGACUUGAGUAAAGUUGAGGUAGGCGGAAUUGACGGUGUAGCGGUGAAAUGCUUAGAUAUCGUCAAGAACACCGAUAGUGUAGACAGCUUACUAGACUUCAACUGACGCUGAGGCACGAAAGUGUGGGGAUCAAACAGG
rnacentral:rRNA from 1 species